UUACGGUCAAAUCACGCUGAAACACCGGUUCUCGUACGAUCACCGAAGUUAAGCAGCGUAGAGCCAGGGGGACCGCUUGGGAACACCUGGUACUGUAAUC